rnacentral:lncRNA from 1 species
UCAAAAACACAUUACAGCAAGAUGCAACUGAGCAACAAGCCAAGAAAAAAAUAAACGAUCCACAAUUUAACUGGUAGACAACAAACAAGCUAAGAAUAUAUCAAACCAUCCAUUGAUCCACAAUUUGUAAAGUUUAAAGCCAGCCCACUGCCCACCACAAGUCCAAGACCAUUACAUAAUUUAUCAUCCAUACAAAAUUCAUCAAAGAUUGGGCUGAGCCAAGGUCACCGCAUGGAGCAUGGGAUGCACGACCAUAUGGCCAUAUGGACCAAGCUAAUUUGAGUUUUGGCUUGUGAAUUUACUAGCUCAUACGAGCUAACGAGCUGCUCGCGAGCUAGCUCGAGCUGGCUCGUUAUAAAACGAGCUAGCUCAUUAUAAAACAAGCUGGCUUGUUAAGAAACGAGUCGGCUCGAGCCGAGCCAUUAACGAGCGAGUCGAGCGAGCUACCGAGUUUCGAGUUUUUCGUCCAGGCUUA